UUACGGCCUUAUCAUGUUGAAACACCAGGUUCCUUUCUACAAUCCCCAAAGUUAAGCAACGUCGAGCCUGAUCAGUACCUAGAUGGGUGACUGCUUGGGAAUACCAGAUGCU